CAAUAGCGUAUAUUUAAGUUGUUGCAGUUAAAAAGCUCGUAGUUGGAUUUCGGUUGAGAACGGCCGGUCCGCCGUUUGGUGUGCACUGGCUGGUUUCAACUUCCUGUAGAGGACGCGCUCUGGCUUCACGGCUGGACGCGGAGUCUACGUGGUCACUUUGAAAAAAUUAGGGUGUUCAAAGCGGGCUUACGCUUGAAUAUUUCAGCAUGGAAUAACACUAUAGGACUCCUGUCCUAUUUCGUUGGUCUCGGGACGGGAGUAAUGAUUAAGAGGAACAGUUGGGGGCAUUCGUAUUUCAUUGUCAGAGGUGAAAUUCUUGGAUUUAUGAAAGACGAACUUCUGCGAAAGCAUUUGCCAAGGAUGUUUUCAUUAA
rnacentral:rRNA from 1 species